CGUGCCUAAUACAUGCAAGUCGAACGCUUCUUUCCUCCCGGUGCUUGCACUCAAUUGGAAAGAGGAGUGGCGGACGGGUGAGUAACACGUGGGUAACCUACCCAUCAGAGGGGGAUAACACUUGGAAACAGGUGCUAAUACCGCAUAACAGUUUAUGCCGCAUGGCAUAAGAGUGAAAGGCGCUUUCGGGUGUCGCUGAUGGAUGGACCCGCGGUGCAUUAGCUAGUUGGUGAGGUAACGGCUCACCAAGGCCACGAUGCAUAGCCGACCUGAGAGGGUGAUCGGCCCACUGGGACUGAGACACGGCCCAGACUCCUACGGGAGGCAGCAGUAGGGAAUCUUCGGCAAUGGACGAAAGUCUGACCGAGCAACGCCCGUGAGUGAAGAAGGUUUUCGGAUCGUAAAACUUGUUGUUAGAGAAGAACAACGUUAGUAACUGAACGUCCCUGAG
rnacentral:rRNA from 1 species